CGGAUUAAGGAAACCGGCGCACGGGUGCGUAACGCGUAUGCAACUUGCCCUUAUCAGGAGGAUAGCCCGGGGAAACUCGGAUUAAUACUCCAUAGGAUUUUGAUUGGCAUCGAUUAAAAUUGAAAGAUUUAUUGGAUAAGGAUAGGCAUGCGUCAGAUUAGUUAGUUGGUAGUGUAACGGACUACCAAGGCGAUGAUCUGUAGGGGGCCUGAGAGGGUGAACCCCCACACUGGUACUGAGACACGGACCAGACUCUACGGGAGGCAGCAGUGAGGAAUAUUGGACAAUGGAGGGAACUCUGAUCCAGCCAUCCCGCGUGCAGGAAGACGGCCUAUGGGUUGUAAACUGCUUUUGUAUGGGGAUAAAUCUACUUUCGUGUAGGUAGUUGAAGGUACCAUACGAAUAAGCAUCGGCUAACUCCGUGCCAGCAGCCGCGGUAAUACGGAGGAUGCAAGCGUUAUCCGGAUUCAUUGGGUUUAAAGGGUCCGUAGGCGGGCUGAUAAGUCAGUGGUGAAAUUUUGUCGCUCAACGAUAAAACUGCCAUUGAUACUGUUAGUCUUGAGUGAUAUUGAAGUUGCUGGAAUGUGUAGUGUAGCGGUGAAAUGCAUAGAUAUUACACAGAACACCGAUUGCGAAGGCAGGUUACUAAGUAUUAACUGACGCUGAAGGACGAAAGCGUGGGGAGCGAACAGGAUGAGAUACCCUGGUAGUCCACGCA
rnacentral:rRNA from 1 species